GUGCUCGCUUUGGCAGCACAUAUACUAAAACUGGAAUGAUACAGAGAAGAUUAGCAUGGCCCCUGCACAAGGAUGACACACAAAGUCAUGAAGCAUUCCAAAGUUUU